rnacentral:tRNA from 1 species
GGCCCUGUGGUCAAGCGGUUCAAGACGCAACCCUCUCAAGGUUGAAUCCCGGGUUCGAUUCCCGGCUGGGUCACCA